ACUUCCAGGGAACUCUAUGUUGCGUUACCAGCCCACACACCUUAUUCGCCGCAGUGAUUUACAGUGGGCACUCAUCCAUACCACAGUGGAACAUGCACACUAUGGGGAAACCCGAACAGCAUGUCUUGGCACUGUGGGUGGAAACCAGAGCAGUCAGAGGAAACCCACACAGAGAGGGAGAACAGGGAGAACAUGCAAACUCCACACGCACAGACAGAGCGGGGUCCGAACUCAUGACCUGUGCCCCCUGGGCCUGGCUGAAGUUCUCAUUCUUUCUCUACAACUAUACAUGUAUGUACCAGUACAGCAGAGUACAAACGGUGGCCCUUCUUUGCCACUUGUAUGACCAAACUAAACCAAGUAUUAAAACGUACCUUAUUAUAGUGAAACUUUAGCUAAAAGAAGACUUUUUCCCCUCUUUUUCCCCUCAGAAGUGAAACAAUGACGUCAUGCCAUGGCUGUACAGCGCGCGCCUAAUCGAAUCACGUCGAAUGUCAAUGUGGACUGAGUCAGUGUGUUCGAGGCUGGAAUUCGACUCGUGAAGCCGGCAAUGCAGUACAUAUGAUGUGUGUCACUCUGCACAGCUGCGCUGUCAGGAGCUAUGGCCGCAGCACAGUUUUACAAGUUGGACGAUGGCAAAAGUAGGCCUACCCACUGUUUUCCUGUAAGGUCAUUCUUUCAGCAGGGCAGGGACGGAGCGGGGCACUGGCUCGUGGCUCACAGGAACGCCGUGGAGCACAAGUACAGAAGGUCCGCGGGCAGAAGAGCGGCGGGACCCGCGACACGGGAGCAUCCGUCCGUGUCCCACGCGGCCGGCGCGGAGCAGGGCGGGAAAGCGGAGGCCGGGGGCGGAGCUUUGGAUGGACCUUUGCUGAUGAAACUGUACCGCGUGGACAAGCCGUCGGAUCUGUGCUCUGCGGACGUCAGCGGACGGAAACUGCACUCGGUCAAGGAAGAUGACCUGAAGGAAUUUGACAGCGUCGCUUAUGUCAAUGCAUCUGACAACCGCCUCACUCUGGAGGCUUUCAGAGGAUUCCCCCUGUUACGAGAGCUGGAGCUGUCGAUGAACGGCCUGCGAGACCUUCGUGUGACAGCAGCCCGCUUUCCCCACCUCAGAGUGCUGGACGUGUCCUUCAACAACCUGUCGAGCGGCGCCAUCCUGGAUCUCGCUCGCCUCCCUUCUCUCAAAGUCCUGCAUGUGACAGGGAACAAGCUGUGCUCUCUGCCGGAUCCCUUGGCGGCGGCCACGCGCCACGCUGCCUCCCGUCGGAAAUUGGCCCCGGAGACUUUCUUCCGCGCCCUCGAGGUGUUGAUGUUAGAUGACAACUGCCUGUCCUCUCCAGGAGUCUUCGUGUGUCUCGCUGGUCUGAAAAGACUGCGCCAUCUAGACCUGCGGGGUAACUGCAUCACGGGGGUGCCCUACCUGCAGCCGGGGGGAGACCCCCAGGAGCCUGAGGUCUGCGGAGAAAAGCGCGCUGAAGCACUGGAAAAAGUGAUGAACCACAUCCUGUCCUUGGGGACGAGAGCGCCGCUGAACGAACCUGCUAGAAAAACUGGUCCUUCUCGCGAGAAACGGAUGCAAGCGCAGCAGCAGCAGCAGCAGCAGCAGCAAUAUGAGAGCUUCACGGAGGGAGCCCAUGUGCCCUUCGCCCAACUGCAGCACCUCAAUCUGGCCCACAAUAAGAUUGCCGAGGAAGAGGCCCUUCUCGCCGUGGCUCUCUUUCCGGGGCUCAGAGAGCUCGUGAUCCACUCAAACCCUCUGACCACACAAAGGAGCGGCGACCCUCCUCUGCUGACCGCUCUUCUCCAAGAGCGACUCGGGAUCCAGAUAAGACGCAAGAAGACGGAAGGAGCGAAACCACACAUGACGGUUCAAGUGAACCCAAACCGAAAGAUAGAAACGACCAUUCCAAAGGUCCCAAAAGGGCCCGUGUGCUCGCAGGCGUCCGGAAGCUCUCCUCCUGCUCCUGGCCACGUGAAGAAGAGCACAGAGGAUCUCGGGGAGAGGGCAUCUGAGGACACGGAGCUGCCGGGAGGUGGACGCAAGAGGUUAAACAAGAGGUCCCCGAGCCCCUCGCACAUGGACGGGCAGGACGCUGAAGGUUUCUUUAUGACGCAGCUGAACGAUGUAGAUGGAAGCACCUGGGGAGGGGAAGCGGAGGAGAAAAGGCCAACAGAGGAACGGAUGAUUCCGGAAAAAUUCAGAGGCUAUGAAAUACUCCUAGAAGCAGAACCGGAUCCUGAGAUGGUUCAGCCUGUUGGAAUCCAGCAAACUGUCAGAGCUCUGGAACGGGCCCUCGAGCAUCUCCCCGUGGAGCCAAGUUCCCAGCGUAGCGUCGGCCGUGAGCCCGAACCGCACGCGGAAAAGCCGAAGACGGCGGAGUGCUGAGCGCGGAGCGGGUGGGGAGGGGGGGCGUCGCCGCGGACACGUAACGUAACAAGCUCCGCAUCCUUAAAAUGUCCUGUCUUAAUUGAGAGAAGGAAAGAGAGGCCAAAGCAAAGCGCCAAGGAUGAACAUUUCCAGGUCCGCACCAAAGACCUCAAGGCAAGAACUGCAGUCCUCUUGGGUAAAAACGGUACAUGAAUGAACUGUCGCAGCUGCUCGGAUAUGUCAUUAAAAUGUUCUACGAAGUUACAGUUAAGUCGUGCUUUUUAUUCAGCGAGGGACUCAUUGUGGCACCGUAGUAUUUCCUGAAGUAUGAAGUACCAGAGCUGCAGGAAUAUUGCAACAUGGGAGCUGCAGAAUAAUGUAGGCAAACGGGGCGAAGGGAAAUGAAGAGUAAGAUAGGAAGUGAGCAACGCACCAGGACAGUAAUUGAGCCCUGAGGACGCGAGCGGGACGGAACAUUCUGGAGAGACUCUACGCUCUCCGAGAGUGAACAUGGACUGGGUGGCAAAUAAGAACCUGAAAUAAGCGCCCGCGUCUGCAGUACGCUGCACUUUCAAAGAGAAGACAUACAGUCCAGGGGACAGCUGGCACCCCUACCUCGAG